GGAUUAGAUACCCUGGUAGUCCACGCUGUAAACGAUGAUCACUCGAUAUUGGCGACAAACAGUCAGUGUCUAAGCGAAAGUGAUAAGUGAUCCACCUGGGGAGUACGAUCGCAAGGUUGAAACUCAAAGGAAUUGACGGGGGCCCGCACAAGCGGUGGAGCAUGUGGUUUAAUUCGAUGAUACGCGAGGAACCUUACCAGGGCUUAAAUGCAGAACGACCGAUCUGGAAACAGAUCUUUCUUCGGACGGUUUGCAAGGUGCUGCAUGGUUGUCGUCAGCUCGUGCCG
rnacentral:rRNA from 1 species